CCUCUGACCAUUACUCCUCAAAAUUGUCAAGGUCAUCAAAAACAAGGAAAAGUCUAAGAAACUGUUACAGCCACGAGGAGCCUAAGGAGACAUGACUAAACGUUAUAUGGUAUCCUGCAACAGAAUGAAGACAUUAGGUUUACUGCUCAUCUUUCUCCACUCUGCUUUGUGCACAAUUUGCCAAACAAAUUGCAUCUUCCAGGCAACCUUGUCCUCUAGCUUCCGAUGUGUUCAAACAAAAGAAGAAAGCAGUUUUCAUGAAGAACAACCACAUAAAUUGGAUUCCGAAGAUGAGAUUAACAUAAAGUCUUUAACUUCCUUACUUUUAUUCCUUAAUAAAGAAUUAAGGAUAAGUACUAG